CGUGGAUAAGACAUGCAAGUCGAACGGGACACAAGAUGUAGCAAUACAGAUUGUGUUUAGUGGCGAACGGGUGCGUAACACGUGGGCAAUCUGCCGGAAAGUGGGGGAUAACUCGUCGAAAGGCGAACUAAUACCGCAUGUGGCCAGGGAGGACAUCCUUCCGAAGCUAAAGCUGGGGCAACCUAGCGCUUUCUGAUGAGCCCGCGGCCUAUCAGCUAGUUGGUGAGGUAACGGCUCACCAAGGCUAUGACGGGUAGCUGGUCUGAGAGGACGACCAGCCACACUGGAACUGAGAUACGGUCCAGACACCUACGGGUGGCAGCAGUCGAGAAUUUUUCUCAAUGGGGGAAACCCUGAAGGAGCGACGCCGCGUGGAGGAUGAAGGUUUUCGGAUUGUAAACUCCUGUCAUUGGGGAACAAUUCCACGGGUAGUAACUGACCUGUGGUUGAUAGUACCCGAAGAGGAAGGGACGGCUAACUCUGUGCCAGCAGCCGCGGUAAUACAGAGGUCCCAAGCGUUGUUCGGAUUCAUUGGGCGUAAAGGGUGCGUAGGCGGCGAGGUAAGUUGGAUGUGAAAUCCCGGGGCUCAACCCCGGAACUGCAUCAAUACUGCUUGCUAGAGUACUGGAGAGGAGAUGG
rnacentral:rRNA from 1 species